rnacentral:tRNA from 1 species
CAGGGAGACAAACAACGAUUUUGAUGCCUGAGUACUUUUAUUCUUAGGCCGAAAUCCUGUCACCUUAGGUCGAUCGGUACCUCAACUUCAAUCCUGUGAGUCGAAAGACUGCACAACGAUUGAUUUUUAGUUCCUAAACGUUGUCUAGGUCACCCCAUAGAGGGUUCACUUCCUGGGCCAUUAGCUCAGGUGGUUAGAGCGCACCCCUGAUAAGGGUGAGGUCCCUGGUUCAAGUCCAGGAUGGCCCAUUCCAAACUCCAUUUUGGAUCCUUUGGGGGUUUAGCUCAGUUGGUAGAGCGCCUGCUUUGCAAGCAGGAUGUCAGCGGUUCGAGUCCGCUAACCUCCACUAACAUAUCUGAACUCCAAAGCCAGGAAGAGCUUCUUGGUUGGUGACUAGACGUUGUUCGCUGAAUGAUUCCACUGGAUAGCCAGUCGUAUUCAGCCUCAGCUCAUUCGAUUGACACGGUUGUGUUGAUUUGGUUGAGCUGAUGC